rnacentral:rRNA from 1 species
CAGUCGCCGCGGUAAUACGUAGGUGGCAAGCGUUGUCCGGAAUUAUUGGGCGUAAGGGGCUCGCAGGCGGUUUCUUAAGUCUGAUGUGAAAGCCCCCGGCUCAACCGGGGGGGGUCAUUGGAAACUGGGAAACUUGAGUGCAGAAGAGGAGAGUGGAAUUCCACGUGUAGCGGUGAAAUGCGUAGAGAUGUGGAGGAACACCAGUGGCGAAGGCGACUCUCUGGUCUGUAACUGACGCUGAGGAGCGAAAGCGUGGGGAGCGAACAGGAUUAGAUACCCCGGUAGUCCCUGUCUCUUAUAA